rnacentral:rRNA from 1 species
AUUGAACGCUGGCGGCAGGCCUAACACAUGCAAGUCGAGCGGAUGAAGGUAGCUUGCUCCUGGAUUCAGCGGCGGACGGGUGAGUAAUGCCUAGGAAUCUGCCUGGUAGUGGGGGAUAACGUCCGGAAACGGGCGCUAAUACCGCAUACGUCCUGAGGGAGAAAGUGGGGGAUCUUCGGACCUCACGCUCUCAGAUGAGCCUAGGUCGGAUUAGCUAGUUGGUGGGGUAAAGGCCUACCAAGGCGACGAUCCGUAACUGGUCUGAGAGGAUGAUCAGUCACACUGGAACUGAGACACGGUCCAGACUCCUACGGGGGGCAGCAGUGGGGAAUAUUGGACAAAGGGCGAAAGCCUGAUCCAGCCAUGCCGCGUGUGUGAAGAAGGUCUUCGGAUUGUAAAGCACUUUAAGUUGGGAGGAAGGGCAGUAAGUUAAUACCUUGCUGUUUUGACGGUACCAACAGAAUAAGCACCGGCUAACUUCGUG